UACGUAGGGUGCGAGCGUUGUCCGGAAUUAUUGGGCGUAAAGAGCUCGUAGGCGGUCUGUCGCGUCGAUCGUGAAAACUUGGGGCUUAACCCUGAGCUUGCGGUCGAUACGGGCUAGCUAGAGUGUGGUAGGGGAGAUCGGAAUUCCUGGUGUAGCGGUGAAAUGCGCAGAUAUCAGGAGGAACACCGGUGGCGAAGGCGGAUCUCUGGGCCAUUACUGACGCUGAGGAGCGAAAGCGUGGGGAGCGAACAGG
rnacentral:rRNA from 1 species